GCGGCGUGCCUAAUACAUGCAAGUAGAACGCUGAAGAGAGGAGCUUGCUCUUCUUGGAUGAGUUGCGAACGGGUGAGUAACGCGUAGGUAACCUGCCUUGUAGCGGGGGAUAACUAUUGGAAACGAUAGCUAAUACCGCAUAACAAUGGAUGACACAUGUCAUUUAUUUGAAAGGGGCAAAUGCUCCACUACAAGAUGGACCUGCGUUGUAUUAGCUAGUAGGUGAGGUAACGGCUCACCUAGGCGACGAUACAUAGCCGACCUGAGAGGGUGAUCGGCCACACUGGGACUGAGACACGGCCCAGACUCCUACGGGAGGCAGCAGUAGGGAAUCUUCGGCAAUGGGGGCAACCCUGACCGAGCAACGCCGCGUGAGUGAAGAAGGUUUUCGGAUCGUAAAGCUCUGUUGUAAGUCAAGAACGAGUGUGAGAGUGGAAAGUUCACACUGUGACGGUAGCUUACCAGAAAGGGACGGCUAACUACGUGCCAGCAGCCGCGGUAAUACGUAGGUCCCGAGCGUUGUCCGGAUUUAUUGGGCGUAAAGCGAGCGCAGGCGGUUUGAUAAGUCUGAAGUUAAAGGCUGUGGCUCAACCAUAGUUCGCUUUGGAAACUGUCAAACUUGAGUGCAGAAGGGGAGAGUGGAAUUCCAUGUGUAGCGGUGAAAUGCGUAGAUAUAUGGAGGAACACCGGUGGCGAAAGCGGCUCUCUGGUCUGUAACUGACGCUGAGGCUCGAAAGCGUGGGGAGCGAACAGGAUUAGAUACCCUGGUAGUCCACGCCGUAAACGAUGAGUGCUAGGUGUUGGAUCCUUUCCGGGAUUCAGUGCCGCAGCUAACGCAUUAAGCACUCCGCCUGGGGAGUACGACCGCAAGGUUGAAACUCAAAGGAAUUGACGGGGGCCCGCACAAGCGGUGGAGCAUGUGGUUUAAUUCGAAGCAACGCGAAGAACCUUACCAGGUCUUGACAUCCCGAUGCUAUUUCUAGAGAUAGAAAGUUACUUCGGUACAUCGGUGACAGGUGGUGCAUGGUUGUCGUCAGCUCGUGUCGUGAGAUGUUGGGUUAAGUCCCGCAACGAGCGCAACCCCUAUUGUUAGUUGCCAUCAUUCAGUUGGGCACUCUAGCGAGACUGCCGGUAAUAAACCGGAGGAAGGUGGGGAUGACGUCAAAUCAUCAUGCCCCUUAUGACCUGGGCUACACACGUGCUACAAUGGUUGGUACAACGAGUUGCGAGUCGGUGACGGCAAGCUAAUCUCUUAAAGCCAACCUCAGUUCGGAUUGUAGGCUGCAACUCGCCUACAUGAAGUCGGAAUCGCUAGUAAUCGCGGAUCAGCACGCCGCGGUGAAUACGUUCCCGGGCCUUGUACACACCGCCCGUCACACCACGAGAGUUUGUAACACCCGAAGUCGGUGAGGUAACCUUUUGGAGCCAGCCGCCUAAGGUGGGAUAGAUGAUUGGGCU
rnacentral:rRNA from 1 species